CCUACGGGAGACAGCAGUGGGGAAUAUUGCACAAUGGGGGAAACCCUGAUGCCGCGACGCCGCGUGAGUGAAGAAGUAAUUCGUUCUGUAAAGCUCUAUCAGCAGGGAAGAAAAUGACGGUACCUGACUCAGACGCCCCGGCUAACUACGUGCCGGCCGCCGCGGUAAUUCGCAGGGGGCGGGCGUUAUCCGGAUUUACUGGGUGUAAGGGGAGCGUAGACGGGUGGUCAAGUCUUAAGUGAAAGCCCGGGGCUUAACCCCGGAACGGCCUUGGAAACUGAGCAGCUAGAGUGCUGGAGAGGUGGGCGGAAUGUGUGGUGUAGCGGUGAAAUGCGUAGAUAUGAGGAGGAACACCAGUGGCGAAGGCGGCUUACUGGACAGUGAUUGACGUUGAUGCACGAAAGCGUGGGGAGCAAACAGGAUUAGAUACCCUUGUAGUC
rnacentral:rRNA from 1 species